AAACUUUCAACAACGGAUCUCUUGGUUCUGGCAUCGAUGAAGAACGCAGCGAAAUGCGAUACGUAAUGUGAAUUGCAGAAUUCAGUGAAUCAUCAAAUCUUUGAACGCACAUUGCGCCCGCCAGUAUUCUGGCGGGCAUGCCUGUUCGAGCGUCAUUU
rnacentral:rRNA from 1 species